AAUGACUUAACAACAUCAACAGGCAUGCCAAUUUAAACAAGAAUUUUGAAGAAAAAUAAAAGAAUAAAGUGAACUGAGAAAGAAGGCUUACAAAUUCAAAAAGCCAGAUAUUUAAUAUUUUGCUCUGAAAUUGAAUUCUCUCUCUUUAAAUCCAAAUCCUUCACCUAGCCUCUCUUGUUUUUCUCUUCUUUCUCCCUCUUCUCCUCUCUCACGUCCUGUUAUCCUCUUGUUUCCUUUCUUCCUUUUUCUGUUUUGUUCCUUUUGAAUCCGAACGCUGGUUUUCGUUUCGUAAAUAAAUAAAGAAAUGCUAAAAUAUAAAGAGGUUCAUGGGCUGGACUUGUAACAAAAAUUUUACGAACAAUAUAAUAAGCAUAAGACAAUUAAAUCAUUAAUAAUUUAAAAUUUAUUUUUUUAACAAAUAAGUAAACUCCACUUAGUAAAAAUCANNNNN
rnacentral:lncRNA from 1 species